ACUACUUGGGAGUCUGAAAGAGAUUUAUGCUUGUCCCCUUUGAGUUUUUAGAAAAGUCUAAAAAAUGAGAUCUCGCGCAAAAUUUGAUUCGACGCUUCUUGUUUCCCGGAUAUGUAGCUGGAGUCGGUUUUACUGCUGUUUUUAAUAAAUAUUUUGGCGUUGUUUGCGGGAAUACGAUCAUAUGCACAUAAAUCCUUCAACAAUCUGAAACUCGGCUCAGCCUUUUCGUGGGUUUUCUUGGUCGUAUCUUGUUGUACAGUGCACAGACAGUAACAGUACAUCCUGUCGGAGUUAAUUAUACGUUGUCGUCUGGGUUCGCCAUCCUGCAGAUUCUUGGAUCGAAUCCAAAGUUAACGAUGUUUCGCGGGCUGAUAAUGUUUUCUUUGGGCCUGUAUGCUGGUAUCUACGUAUCGCAGAAUUAUGAGGUGCCAAGGCUGGAUCAUCCCAGCGAAAUCUGGGCCAAAGUAACGGAUUUUAUGGAAUCCCAUAAAAAAUCCGACGUUCCACCAAGAUAGCUACGCGCUUAUUCCUUGAACGGAAAUUGGUGAUACCCUGGUAGAAUUGUGGCGUGAAUCCGAUUACUGUUGAAAAAACACAAGCUGUACAUUUCGUUUGCCAGUUUUGAUUGAAAACUGUCCCGAGAUGGGUCGAACUUUGUUGUAACUAAAGAGCGUCUGCAGUUUGCACAUAUUUAUUUUGUAAGAGCGUCUGCAGUUUGCACAUAUUUUGUGAGUUCGUUUUUUUGGCUUCUACAUGCUGUGAUCUAGCAAUUUGCCCCUAGUUCUGUGUUAAAAAUUGGCUGAAAAGUUAAACUUAUGUUAAUUGUGUUUUACCUACACAUUGUGUGAAUGUUGACAAUGUUUUCGACGAAAUGGCAGAAUAAUAAUUAAUUCAUUG